AACGAACGCUGGCGGCAUGCCUAACACAUGCAAGUCGAACGAACUCUUCGGAGUUAGUGGCGGACGGGUGUGUAACACGUGGGAACAUGCCCUUUUGUUCGGCAUAACUCAGGGAAAGUGGUGCUAAUACCGAAUGUUCCCUUCUGGCGAAAGAUUUAUCGCCCUUCGAGGGGCCCGCGUCGGAUUAGCUCGUUGGUUCGGUAACAGCUCACCAAGGCGACGAUCAGUAGCUGGUCUGAGAGGAUGACCAGCGACACUGGGACUGAGACACGGCCCAGACUCCUACGGGAGGCAGCAGUGGGGAAUCUUGCGCAAUGGGCGAAAGCCUGACGCAGCCAGGCCGCGUGAAUGAUGAAGGUCUUAGGAUUGUAAAGUUCUUUUAACGGGGACGAUCAUGACGGUACCUGGAGAAGAAGCCCCGGCUAACUUCGUG
rnacentral:rRNA from 1 species